GAUGAACGCUGGCGGCGUGCCUAAUACAUGCAAGUCGAGCGAACGGACGAGAAGCUUGCUUCUCUGAUGUUAGCGGCGGACGGGUGAGUAACACGUGGAUAACCUACCUAUAAGACUGGGAUAACUUCGGGAAACCGGAGCUAAUACCGGAUAAUAUUUUGAACCGCAUGGUUCAAAAGUGAAAGACGGUCUUGCUGUCACUUAUAGAUGGAUCCGCGCUGCAUUAGCUAGUUGGUAAGGUAACGGCUUACCAAGGCAACGAUGCAUAGCCGACCUGAGAGGGUGAUCGGCCACACUGGAACUGAGACACGGUCCAGACUCCUACGGGAGGCAGCAGUAGGGAAUCUUCCGCAAUGGGCGAAAGCCUGACGGAGCAACGCCGCGUGAGUGAUGAAGGUCUUCGGAUCGUAAAACUCUGUUAUUAGGGAAGAACAUAUGUGUAAGUAACUGUGCACAUCUUGACGGUACCUAAUCAGAAAGCCACGGCUAACUACGUGCCAGCAGCCGCGGUAAUACGUAGGUGGCAAGCGUUAUCCGGAAUUAUUGGGCGUAAAGCGCGCGUAGGCGGUUUUUUAAGUCUGAUGUGAAAGCCCACGGCUCAACCGUGGAGGGUCAUUGGAAACUGGAAAACUUGAGUGCAGAAGAGGAAAGUGGAAUUCCAUGUGUAGCGGUGAAAUGCGCAGAGAUAUGGAGGAACACCAGUGGCGAAGGCGACUUUCUGGUCUGUAACUGACGCUGAUGUGCGAAAGCGUGGGGAUCAAACAGGAUUAGAUACCCUGGUAGUCCACGCCGUAAACGAUGAGUGCUAAGUGUUAGGGGGUUUCCGCCCCUUAGUGCUGCAGCUAACGCAUUAAGCACUCCGCCUGGGGAGUACGACCGCAAGGUUGAAACUCAAAGGAAUUGACGGGGACCCGCACAAGCGGUGGAGCAUGUGGUUUAAUUCGAAGCAACGCGAAGAACCUUACCAAAUCUUGACAUCCUUCGACAACUCUAGAGAUAGAGCCUUCCCCUUCGGGGGACAAAGUGACAGGUGGUGCAUGGUUGUCGUCAGCUCGUGUCGUGAGAUGUUGGGUUAAGUCCCGCAACGAGCGCAACCCUUAAGCUUAGUUGCCAUCAUUAAGUUGGGCACUCUAAGUUGACUGCCGGUGACAAACCGGAGGAAGGUGGGGAUGACGUCAAAUCAUCAUGCCCCUUAUGAUUUGGGCUACACACGUGCUACAAUGGACAAUACAAAGGGCAGCGAAACCGCGAGGUCAAGCAAAUCCCAUAAAGUUGUUCUCAGUUCGGAUUGUAGUCUGCAACUCGACUACAUGAAGCUGGAAUCGCUAGUAAUCGUAGAUCAGCAUGCUACGGUGAAUACGUUCCCGGGUCU
rnacentral:rRNA from 1 species